rnacentral:rRNA from 1 species
UACGUAGGUGGCAAGCGUUAUCCGGAAUUAUUGGGCGUAAAGCGCGCGCAGGUGGUUUCUUAAGUCUGAUGUGAAAGCCCACGGCUCAACCGUGGAGGGUCAUUGGAAACUGGGAGACUUGAGUGCAGAAGAGGAAAGUGGAAUUCCAUGUGUAGCGGUGAAAUGCGUAGAGAUAUGGAGGAACACCAGUGGCGAAGGCGACUUUCUGGUCUGUAACUGACACUGAGGCGACGAAAGCGUGGGGAGCAAACAGG